rnacentral:lncRNA from 1 species
CAAAUUAUUUAGGAAAAAUAUCAAAUAAUAUUCUUUUUGUUGAAUAGAUACCAAGUGUAACAAAAAAUUAUAGUAGCUUUUUCUAGGAUCGAGGGGGUAUUAUAUAUUAUAACGGAGUGAUACAAGUGAUGCUAAUUAUGUUGGGAGGCCUAUUUGUUCCCCUGCUCUAGUACUAGUAUCAAGUACUUACAGCUCCAUAUUAAUUAACAGGCCACUUUAUAGAUGUCUAAGAUCGAUGUGUAAAUAUGGAGCAUAUAGGUGUGGGCAAUAAAUGGUGAUUAGUACUGCUUAAGCAUGUCUAUUUAAGUAAGGCUAGCUCUCAUAUAUGAAAGGAAGGUGCAUACUUUUACUAGCUCUUAACGUACCACAAUCCUUUGAUAUAUAUAUAUAUAUAUAUAUAUAUAUAUAUAUAUAUAUAUAUAUAUA